CCACGAAUAUGCUGGGUAGACUAUGGAUCCCUAGAAGUCAUAAAGAAGUACUGCACGUGUUACAAUUUACCAGUAUAAUGUGUUUUCACAAGUUAAAUUCAGCAGCACUUGUCGCUAUUUUUUCUAAACUGAUCCUUAUAUACAUGUAUUUAGGUUGCUGAACUGAAAUCCUUUCCCCUUUGUUGCUGUACCUCUGAGGUUAUCAAGGCUUAUAAUUUAGGAUUGACUUGGGUUUCAAUUAUCA